GUCAUUCACUCCCGGCCCGAUGGCCGGAGCGUACUUCUCAGCCGAGAGAUGCACUCAUGUUUGACCAGCCCCAGUCAUCAUCAUGAGGAGGUGCCUCUGAUGACUACGUUCAGUUCACGUGAGAAGACCCACCGCGCCGUGCUUCCUCAGCGGCGUGCUCUGGAAUCCGCAGGAGCAGACACCCCAGGGAGUAGGGACGAAACGGCCUGCGGACUUCCGGCAACCAUGUCGGGCACGGCUUCUGAACAUGGGCGAGGGGAGACCCUGCCGGAGGGCA
rnacentral:sRNA from 1 species